GGAAGUCGCGGUGCUCGCGCUCUCCUUGCUCUUUCUUGCUCUCCUUCCCCGCCCCCCAGCUCAGCGCCGCGGGAGCAAAAUGAGCCCGAGCCCAAGGCCAGGGCCCACGUCCUCCAACGCAAAGGAUGCCCGCGUCACUCCGGUUCCCGAAAGCGAAGCAGGAGUCAGCCUGCGAAUUUCCACUAAAAGUGCGCGCGAGGGGAAAGCUCCAGCGCGAGGGGAAUUGGCCGCGGAGGAAUAAGAAUCUUGCGACGGAUGCCCCAUGGCGGGGCUUUGGAGGGCGGGCGGCGCGUAGCCCUCGCAGCAAUAAUAUACCACGUCACAUGGUGCCAGGCACCGCUGGGAUUCGAACCCAGGAUCUCCUGUUUACUAGACAGGCGCUUUAACCAGCUAAGCCACGGCGCCGGCGGGAGGUGCUUUCAGUCUGAAGGUAGAUCAGCCACUCCAGGGAGUAGGUCCCGAGCCGGUGGCUUAACGCUCCGCCCCUCCCGUCUCCCACAUCUCAGGGGCCCGACUCGACCGUGGAUGGGUACGUGACCUCAAGUCCUGCCGCCCCCUCGGACUGGCCUUCUCUUGCGUGGUGACAGGUGACCGAGCAGCUAAGCACCCUCACCUGCUUCAGGGCCCCCACAGGCUGGGCGGGCGCACCAGCCGCCACCCCCUUCCCUCGACACACCCAGCUGAUGCAAGGUGACGAGGGGUGCAGGGUCACAGUUAGCUGGACAUCUUCCGGGCUCAGCAAGGCCCCUCCGCUGGACAGGGUGUGCGGAGCAGAGAGCUGGGGGGCGCAAGGGGAGGGGUCACUCACGCUCACUACAGCCUCCCUGGCAGGGGGGCCACACCUCCCCACAAUGAGCUCGCUGCUCCCAACCCCCACAUUUCAUUCCACAAAGUCCUGUUUUCUUUUUCCUCUUUGUAUUAAAAAAUAACAACAGACACAAUAUCAAAAACACAAAUGCCAUCGGUAGAGGGUACAGCUGAGAACACCUGGGUCCCACCUGAGGGGCAGCACCAGGGACUCCAUGGUCCAC